AUGAACGUUGGCGGCGUGUCUUAGGCAUGCAAGUCGAGCGCGUGUAGCAAUACACGAGCGGCAGAUGGGUGAGUAAGACAGUGGUAAUCUACCUCGAAGUCUUGAAUAACACUGCGAAAGCGGUGCUAAUACAAGAUGGUUAAGGGGGGUCAUAUGACAUUCCCUUAUAAAGCUCCGGCGCUUCGAGAGGAACCUUUGGUUUAUCAGCUAGUUGGUGAGGUAAUGGCCCACCAAGGCUAUGACGAAUAGCGGGCGUGAGAGCGUGACCCGCCUCAGUGGCACUGAAACACUGGCCACACUCCUACGGGAGGCUGCAGUCGAGAAUUUUCCGCAAUGCACGAAAGUGUGACGGAGCGACGCCGCGUGCAGGAUGAAGGCCUUCGGGUUGUAAACUGCUUUUAUCAGGGAAAAACCAGCGAUGGUACCUGUUGAAUAAGAGGUUGCUAACUCUGU
rnacentral:rRNA from 1 species